GAUGAACGCUAGCGGCAGGCUUAACACAUGCAAGUCGAGGGGUAUUGGUUUUCGGACCAAGAGACCGGCGCACGGGUGCGUAACGCGUAUGCAAUCUACCUUUUGCAGAGGGAUAGCCCCAGAGAAAUUUGGAUUAAUACCUCAUAGUAUAGUACUUUGGCAUCAAGGAACUAUUAAAGUCACAACGGCAAAAGAUGAGCAUGCGUCCCAUUAGCUAGUUGGUAAGGUAACGGCUUACCAUGGCUACGAU
rnacentral:rRNA from 1 species